rnacentral:lncRNA from 1 species
CUUUUCCCGAGCCGGCGAAGGGGCCCGGGGGAGCGCGGGGGUGGGAACGCGGGGCGUGCGAAGGAGGAAAUUAACGAGACUCCACGGGGGAAAUAUCUCGAAUUGACUAGCAAACCCAGCUGCCUCUCCGGGACUCUGGGGACCCCUUUUACACCCCUUGAGAUCGCAAUAGAGAACAGAAUUCUCGUCUCCAAGUCCUGCUGGACCGGCUUUCCCCACCCUACCGAACUUACCUUUGGGCAAAACGCACGCCGCUCGAAUCCCUUUCUCGUUCCUUCCUCCCGAACAAGACGCGGCGGAGAAAAUGAUGCGCACGUAGAUUUGUGAAGCAAAUUCUUCGAGAAUUUCCUUUGGAUGAUCACGAGGAGCGAUGGAGACGCUGGAGACAGGUGCAGGGCUGCCUGGGGCUGCCGGCUAAAACUUAUUCUCCGCUGGUGGGCGGCGAGGUCCCCGGCCAGGGCCAAGGACCCCCGGUUCCCUGCCCCCCGGCGUCGCCCACUUGUCACGCCAGGCUGCUGCGUGCGCUCGGCUGCAGGGGAGGUGGCGUAGUUUCUCUUCCUCCCACCUCUUCUCACUCACUUGUUUUUGUAGCCGUGGGCUCCCCUAAUGCUUUCCUCUCCACAAUGUUGUUUCAUUAUAUCAUGUCCAUCAUGUGACACCGGAGAGGCCUCUCUAUGGAAACUUAAAGGGGCUCCCACGUGACUGCAGCAGCAACAACAGCAGCAGGACUGGCGGCGGCGGCCGCAGCGUUUGUACCACCACUCACCGGGAGCCCCUCGCAGCAUCCCGAAGGGGCUUCUGGCGCUGCAGAAGCCCAGAUAAGGGAGCCACAGCAUCCGGGAGCUGUGGCGUCGGUGCGUGCGUGGAGCCCGUGCUCAUUACAUAGCAAGCCGAACAGAAGGAGCGUCCUUAAAUCCUUUCCUACAGUCACAAAACCCACGCUCUGUUAAAAUGACAUUUCGUGGCUCCUACUUUAUUUCCCCCAAGAGCAAUGAGUUUUCUAUCAGGCCUAACUGAAUAUUACAAAGUCAGAAAGAAAAACCGGAUUUGUCUCUCUGCAAGUUCAGUCACAACAUCAGUGGGAGAACAGAAAUGCCAAAACAAUAACAGCAAAUAGAAUCAGGCAUUUGAUACAUAAUUACCAUCAUCACCAGUUUUAAAGCAUUCUGGAAUUACAUUCCUCUGGUAACUGUGUCGAUGUUCGCAGGAGACAAAUGCAAUGCAGUUUUUCUCUUCCGCAGCUAUAUUAGGGCUUUGUUGCUGACAACAGUAAAAACUUGUUUGUGUCAGGAAGUGAGGUAUGAAGAUAUGACCUGGAAGGUACAGACAAAACCAAACUAGCAGUUUUUGCAUUACUUUUCUGACCACAUUCUUUCAAAUGGUGACAAGAAGACUGGCUGCUGUAAGAUGCAUGUUUAGUGGGAAAUAAUCAGAAAAAUAUACUUAUCCCUUAAUCAUGCUGUACAUGCUAGACAGUAGAAAUUGUGUGUGCGUGUGUGCAGAGAGAAACGUGCAUUUUAAUGAUAUUUUGAACCACUUAUUUUGUCCUCAUUUCUGGCAUUUAACUUAAGUAUUUGAUAAACAACUUUGAAAGACUUAUUCAAGUCCUAAAUGUGUGGAAAUUGUAACCCUUUUGAGUACGUACUCUCGGUAUUGUUGACUCACAACCUUUUAGGAGUUUCUACCUUAAAUUCCAGGUCUCUGUCUUAAAAGUUUUUAUGGACCAGGAGAUGUUAUCCUAUAAAUCUAGGCUAGAUAGCUAUUUCUGCGUUUUGGUUCAUGCUUUUCCAUUUUAUAAGGAAAACUGGAUUGGCGCAAUUAUGGGGGAGAAAAACUUCGCAGGAAACUUAACAGAGAGAUGGAAGAUCAUCCUUUCUUCUGGUCUUGCCUUAACUACCUCCCUUUCCAGCUCAUCAGUUUACCUACUAUGAUAAAUGAUCGCCACUACCUCCCUUCUAAUUCUAUAAGUCCCCCAAUUUUUACCUUCCAAUCUCAUGCCUAGUUCUUUCCCCCUUUUCCUUUUCUGCUCCGGCCUCCCAAUUCAGCCCUUUUUCUUCCUGGGCCCUUAGCUCAGGCCUUCCCAGAUACUCCCUCCCAGUCCUCCUAAUCCUGCAGAUCCCAACCCCCCACCCCUUUCCCAUUUGGUCUCUCUUCUCAGCAACUUUACCUCCUUACCUCUCUUUGACCUCCUUUCAUCUCCUUCACAGUUUAGCCCUUGACUUCGGGGCCUUCUUACCUUUCUUUACCUGAAAUGAUCUGCCCCUUACCCGGGUCUCCUUCACACCCUCCUCUCUGGUCCUAACCCUUCUGCGGCCAAGCCCAGCAUAGCUCCCGGCUCGGCCUGGUCAGCUUGAGCUGUAUUUUGUUCGAGUGCCCCAGGCCUAGGAAAGGAGUGUGUAGUGUAAAGUGGGGCCAAGUGUCCCCCCGGACUGGGGCCACUGCCUCGCCCCCUCCGCCCCUCCCGAGUCCCGGUUGCGGCGCUUCCUGGGCGGAUGGUUUGGACUUGCUGCAGCAGCUGCG